UGGAUGUGCAGGAGUACGUGAUGGCACACAGUACACAGGAGACACCCUCCAGGGCAGAAUCAGUUACUGCCUCCAUCUGCAGCCAGGUAAAACCCAAAAUCCCAUACCAUGCUUUUAAGAGGUUUUGUGAGGAGAAGGAUGAGAUUGAUGGGUAUUUACAAGAUUUCGAAAGGCUGUGCGAUUUACAUGACUUAGAGCAGGCGGUAUGGGUACCGUUACUGGCAGGCAAACUGUGCGGUCGGGCAG